GAUGAACGCUAGCGGCAGGCCUAAUACAUGCAAGUCGAACGGGAUCUGAGGGUAGCUUGCUACCCGAUUUGAGAGUGGCGCACGGGUGCGUAACGCGUGAGCAACCUACCCAUAUCAGGGGGAUAGCCCGAAGAAAUUCGGAUUAACACCGCAUAAUAAUACGCUAACACAUGUUGAUGUAUUUAAAUAUUUAUAGGAUAUGGAUGGGCUCGCGUGACAUUAGCUAGUUGGUAAGGUAACGGCUUACCAAGGCGACGAUGUCUAGGGGCUCUGAGAGGAGAAUCCCCCACACUGGUACUGAGACACGGACCAGACUCCUACGGGAGGCAGCAGUAAGGAAUAUUGGUCAAUGGGCGCAAGCCUGAACCAGCCAUGCCGCGUGCAGGAUGACUGCCCUAUGGGUUGUAAACUGCUUUUGUUAGGGAAUAAACCUUCUUACGUGUAAGGAGCUGAAUGUACCUAAAGAAUAAGGAUCGGCUAACUCCGUGCCAGCAGCCGCGGUAAAAC
rnacentral:rRNA from 1 species